rnacentral:rRNA from 1 species
UACGUAGGGUGCGAGCGUUAAUCGGAAUUACUGGGCGUAAAGCGUGCGCAGGCGGUUUUGUAAGUCUGACGUGAAAUCCCCGGGCUUAACCUGGGAAUUGCGUUGGAGACUGCAAGGCUGGAGUCUGGCAGAGGGGGGUAGAAUUCCACGUGUAGCAGUGAAAUGCGUAGAUAUGUGGAGGGACACCGAUGGCGAAGGCAGUCCCCUGGGUUAACACUGACGCUCAGGCACGAAAGCGUGGGGAGCAAACAGG